GACGAACGCUGGCGGCGUGCUUAACACAUGCAAGUCGAACGGAAAGGCCCUGCUUUUGUGGGGUGCUCGAGUGGCGAACGGGUGAGUAACACGUGAGUAACCUGCCCUUGACUUUGGGAUAACUUCAGGAAACUGGGGCUAAUACCGGAUAGGAGCUCCUGCUGCAUGGUGGGGGUUGGAAAGUUUCGGCGGUUGGGGAUGGACUCGCGGCUUAUCAGCUUGUUGGUGGGGUAGUGGCUUACCAAGGCUUUGACGGGUAGCCGGCCUGAGAGGGUGACCGGCCACAUCGGGACUGAGAUACGGCGCAGACGCCUACGGGAGGCAGCAGUGGGGAAUAUUGCACAAUGGGCGGAAGCCUGAUGCAGCAACGCCGCGUGCGGGAUGACGGCCUUCGGGUUGUAAACCGCUUUCGCCUGUGACGAAGCGUGAGUGACGGUAAUGGGUAAAGAAGCACCGGCUAACUACGUG
rnacentral:rRNA from 1 species